AAUAAUUACAUGCGAAAAAACACAGAGGCCUUUGUCGGCUGUCCCUCAAAAGGUAAUGUCAAGAGCCUCACUCUCAGGCUUUGAGGUUCGGUGUCUGCAGCGGCAGGCAGCGAUCUCUCUUUCUCUCUCGCGCGCGCUAAUCGGCUCUGUUCCAAUUUCCAGAAAAUAUCUCUCGAGACACUGAUUGGCCGUGCAGCUUCCGGAAAAAAUACAGAGGGAAAAUGUCGGCACCUCUUCAAGAGUGAUCACCGAUCAGCUGCCAAUAAGGGAUUAAAUUCGUAUCAGAGAUCCUAAAAACAUAAGGCGCUUUAUUUAGUUAUUGGUAGAGCCAGGACCUUCAAAACGCACGAGAACAAUAUCGACCAGAAGGUGCCUUCUUCAUAACCGUAGCGCAAGCGAAGCGAUCGUCUGUGAGCGCGUGUGCGUGCCUAGUCUCUCGCUUCCUUUUCUUAUCUGAUUUUGCUUUGGGUAGUUGCUGGUUUCGAUUGGACUUACAUGGGCCGGAUGAAGCCUCCUCUGCGCACUUCUCACCUCCUUCUGGUGGUGCUUGCCCCAAUUCUCUCCUCCGUUGUUCUUGGGAGUUUCCUUGUCGACCAUGAAGAUCAGGGCAGUGCCUCCUUCCCUGCCUCCGUCGUUCUCCCGGGAAGGGUGAGGCAGAUCUCCUGGAAGCCCAGGGCGUUCGUCUAUUCUGGUUUCCUCACGGAUGAGGAAUGCGAUCACCUGAUCUCUCUCGCCACAUCCGAGCUCAAACGAUCGGCUGUUGCUGAUAAUGUUUCGGGAGAAAGCAAACUGAGCGAUGUUAGGACGAGUUCAGGGAUGUUCAUCAGCAAGGGAAAGGAUCCAAUUAUAAUGGGGAUCGAAGACAAGAUUGCGGCAUGGUCUUUUCUCCCAAAAGAAAAUGGUGAAGAUAUUCAGGUACUAAGGUAUGAACAUGGUCAAAAGUACGAUCCUCACUAUGAUUAUUUCUCCGACAAACUUAACAUUGCUCGUGGUGGGCACCGUAUUGCGACAGUCCUCAUGUAUCUGACAGAUGUAGAGAGAGGUGGCGAAACAGUUUUCCCAUCAGCGGAGGUCAAUGACCGCCGGAGAGGUCGUAUUGUGGAUGAUAACUUGUCCGAUUGCGCUAAGAAGGGAAUAGCAGUGAAACCGAAAAAGGGGGACGCUCUGCUGUUCUUCAGUCUUCAUCCCAAUGCAGUUCCGGAUGAGAGAAGCCUGCAUGCGGGGUGCCCGGUGAUGGAAGGGGAGAAAUGGUCGGCGACUAAAUGGAUACACGUAGCGUCGUUUGAAAAGAGUGUGGAUGGCUCGUCUGGCUGUGUGGAUGAGAAUGAGUACUGUGAAAGAUGGGCAGCCCUGGGGGAGUGCAGGAACAACCCAGAUUACAUGGUUGGAUCAGCCGACGCUCCUGGUGCCUGUCGUCGAAGUUGUGAAGUCUGCUAGCACCCAAGCUAUUUGCUGGGAAACGCUGCCACCACCACCCGAGGGCCUAUUUGCGUCCUUGUUUUUCUGCUGUUUAACAUGUGGGGGAAGAUUUGUUAUAUAUAAUGCUCCAUCUGCAGCAAGGUUCACUAUUCGGCCAUGAGAGAGAGAGAGAGAAGUGCCUUUUGCCUAAUCGCAGCCUCAUGGAAAAGAUGAGAUGCAAGCGGCAAGCAACGGUACGUGGAGUCGGCAAAAGAAUCUGUGUACGCACCAUUGGAAUCCCUUCUUUUUCCUUUUUCGAAUUUGGGAACGCCUCUUGAAAAUCAAUUCGAUUUGGCACCUUUUUCUUUUC